rnacentral:rRNA from 1 species
CCUACGGGUGGCAGCAGUGAGGAAUAUUGGUCAAUGGGCGGGAGCCUGAACCAGCCAAGUAGCGUGAAGGAUGACUGCCCUACGGGUUGUAAACUUCUUUUACAAAGGAAUAAAAUGAGGCACGUGUGCCUUUUUGCAUGUACUUUAUGAAUAAGGGUCGGCUAACUCCGUGCCAGCAGCCGCGGUAAUACGGAGGGCCCGAGCGUUAUCCGGAUUCAUUGGGAUUAAAGGGAGCGUAGUUGGGUGUUAAAGUCAUUUGUAAAAUUGCGCGGCUCAACCGUACAGUGAAAUUGAUACUGGAAGCCUUGAGUUCAGUAGAGGCAGGCGGAAUUCGUGGUGUAGUGGUGAAAUGCAUAGAUAUCACGAAGAACCCCGAUUGCGAAGGCAGCUUAC